GUGCAGCAGUCGCGAAAACUCCGCAAUACACGAAAGCGUGACGGGGCCAUCCCGAGUGCCGUCCGCUGAGGAUGGCUUUUCCCUAGUGUAGACAGCUGGGGGAAUAAGGAGAGGGCAAGUCUGGUGUCAGCCGCCGCGGUAAUACCAGCUCUUCGAGUGGUAGGGAUGUUUAUUGGGCCUGAAGCAUCCGUAGCUGGCUGUGCAAGUCCUCUGUUAAAUCCAGCGAUUUAAUCGUUGGAUUGCGGGGGAUACUGUUCGGCUAGGGGGCGGGAGAAGCCGACGGUAUUCUUGGGGUAGGGGUAAAAUCCUAUAAUCCCGGGAGGACCACCAGUGGCGAAGGCUGUCGGCUAGAACACGCCCGACAGUGAGGGAUGAAAGCUGGGGGAGCGAACCGGAUUAGAUACCCGGGUAGUCC
rnacentral:rRNA from 1 species